AAUAUUGCACAAUGGGGGAAACCCUGAUGCAGCGACGCCGCGUGAGUGAAGAAGUAUUUCUGUAUGUAAAGCUCUAUCAGCAGGGAAGAUGAUGACAGUACCUGACUAAGAAGCCCCGGCUAACUACGUGGCAGCAGCCGCGGUAAUACGUAGGGGGCGAGCGUUAUCCGGAUUUACUGGGUGUAAAGGGUGCGUAGGUGGCUAGACAAGUCAGAUGUGAAAGCCCGGGGCUCAACUCCGGGACUGCAUUUGAAACUGUAGAGCUAGAGUGCAGGAGAGGUAAGUGGAAUUCCUAGUGUAGCGGUGAAAUGCGUAGAUAUUAGGAGGAACACCAGUGGCGAAGGCGGCUUACUGGACUGUAACUGACACUGAGGCACGAAAGCGUGGGGAGCAAACAGG
rnacentral:rRNA from 1 species